rnacentral:rRNA from 1 species
UACGUAGGGUGCGAGCGUUGUCCGGAAUUAUUGGGCGUAAAGAGCUUGUAGGAGUCGUCGUCGCGUCGUGCUGUGAAAAUCCGGGGCUCAACCCCGGACUUGCAGUGGGUACGGGCAGACUAGAGUGUGGUAGGGGAGACUGGAAUUCCUGGUGUAGCGGUGAAAUGCGCAGAUAUCGGGAAGAACACCCGUGGCGAAGGCAGUGUUCUGGGCCAGUACUGACGCUGAGGAGCGAAAGCGUGGGGAGCAAACAGG